UUGAACGCUGGCGGCAGGCCUAACACAUGCAAGUCGAACGGUAACAGGAAGAAGCUUGCUUCUUUGCUGACGCGUGGCGGACGGGUGAGUAAUGUCUGGGAAACUGCCUGAUGGAGGGGGAUAACUACUGGAAACGGUAGCUAAUACCGCAUAACGUCGCAAAACCAAAGAGGGGGACCUUCGGGCCUCUUGCCAUCGGAUGUGCCCAGAUGGGAUUAGCUAGUAGGUGGGGUAACGGCUCACCUAGGCGACGAUCCCUAGCUGGUCUGAGAGGAUGACCAGCCACACUGGAACUGAGACACGGUCCAGACUCCUACGGGAGGCAGCAGUGGGGAAUAUUGCACAAUGGGCGCAAGCCUGAUGCAGCCAUGCCGCGUGUAUGAAGAAGGCCUUCGGGUUGUAAAGUACUUUCAGCGGGGAGGAAGGGAGUAAAGUUAAUACCUUUGCUCAUUGACGUUACCCGCAGAAGAAGCACCGGCUAACUCCGUG
rnacentral:rRNA from 1 species